rnacentral:tRNA from 1 species
AUUUAAAUGGCUUAUAUUUAGAGCGUAAUAUUGAAAAUAUUAAGGAAAAGUCCAUGUUUUUAAAUA